GCAGAGCUUGAAGACACACAAGGAGGUGGCUGGAUCCAGAAGAGCAGGAGGAGAUGUUGUCAGAGGGACGGAGUGAGUUUCCCCCAGGGCAGAUGCAAGGGGGCACUCUCCUGGGCCUCAGCCUGCCUGGUCUCCCUGAACUGAAGCCUGCUCGACAACAGUACGGGAUUGCACAACACCCCCGCUCAGCUCCAGCCCCCGAUCUGGAAGCUGCUGAAGAGAGAGAUACCUCGACUUUUAUCUGAUUCUCCAACUCUCCGCAUUCCAGAAAAGCAACUCAAGAUCUAAUUUGCUUAGUCAUUUAGUUGAAACUGCAGUAAGAGAGGUGGCAGAGAAAGUGAAGCAGUAGCCAAAUUAGAUAAGGAAAAAAAAAAGUGAAAACAUGUUUCGUUUUGUUUUUUUAAGAUUCAAAUAAAAACCAUGAUUUAUUUAUUUAUUUAUUUAUUUUUUAUUGCUCAGGAUUAAUUUCCCUGCUGUUUAAAAUGUCCACAAAAGGCUGGGCACGGUGGCUCACGCCCGUAAUCCCAGCACUUUGGGAGGCCAAGGUGGGUGGAUCACGAGGUCAGGAGAUCAAGACCAGUCUGGCCAACACGGUGAAACCUCGUCUCUACUAAAAAUACAAAAAUUAGCCGGGCAUGGUGGUGGGUGCCUGUCAUGGCAGGAGAAUCACUUGAACCCGGGAAGCAAAGGUUCCAGUGAGCUGAGAUGAUGCCACCACACUCCAGCCUGGGUGACAGAGCGAGACUCCAUCUCAGAAAAGAAAAAUGUCCACAAUAUGCAGUUAUGGGACAGAAAUGACCCUGUCCACCUCUGUAUUCAUUCCUUCAUUCUCCUUUCACUCGGAGGGCGAGUAUAAAGUCCUCGCAGUACAUGGUGCCCUGGAAUAGAGACUGCAUUUCCAUGGAGAUUUAGGGGAAAAUGCCAAUUAGUGUCUGAAUCUUCUUAUCACCGCUCAAUGUAAUGAAACGAAACAGGCAUUCCCCAAGUGCCCAUGGUACCUAUGCAACGCCAACCCCUAGUUUGGGUAGAGCAGAAAAAAUUCUGAGAACAGAAAAACCAAGUGUCUGUCCAAAUGGUUUGUUAUAAGAGAACAAACUUCACUUUCUGCCUCGACGACUUGUGGGCACGCAGAGAGGAGGCUACCAGGAAUCUUCUGCUGUGGAUUUUCACCUGAGCUGUAAGUGUGAGCACCUCCCUCCUUAGUGCUCGGACUUGGAACAAUCAAACCUUGGGCUCUCCGGCAUCACAGAGACAAGAAAAGCUUUUCUCUGUUGGGUAAAUUAUUAAUCGUGGCACUGUAUCCCCCUUGACAUCAAUAAAGUCACGACAAUCAAUUUGUCAUGGUCCAGUGUGUGCUCAUGACCGACUUGCCCUGUAAUGUAGGUCAAACUUGGAUUUGAUGCUCUGAUAACCAGAGACGUGGGAUGAAAGUGGGGUUUCUCCUGGUCUGGCAGAACAUGGCUUCCAUGUCUGAAGCUUCCAGGAGGCAAAGCACAUCGGCAGAGCAGGGAGCUCAGCCCUCGACGCGGGGCAGAAGAGCCACAAUGCAGGAACUUACUAUCCACAGUCACUACCACGCCGCUGUGGUUGCACCCAGGGAAGGAAGUGGAGAGAAAGGCACGGCUGGCUUGGAACUCCUGCUUCUGGUUCCGUU
rnacentral:lncRNA from 1 species